GGCUCAUUCUUGCAGUUACCAUGAUACACCAUCUUUGUGUCAGGAAAAGCCUCACCUCUGCUUCAUCAUCCCUGUGUGUUGGGCUGCUGUGCAAAACACAAAAGCAGGACCAGCAAGAAAAAGGGGCAUCUCUAGAAGGUUGUUUGUGGUUACAAGAGCAAUAAUGGGCAUAUAGGAUUUGCUCAGAAGAACACCACAGAUCUCAGUCCUCUCAUGUUCUUUAGCUCCCCUGCUCCCUCCAUAAUCCUCUGCAAAACACUGGCAUUCCAUGGCGGGCAUACAGGGCUUCCUCAGCAGAGAAGUCAAAGGAUUUCCUGAAGACAGAGCAGAGAAGCAGAGAAGUCCUCUGCAGAGAAGUCAAAGGACUUCCUGAAGACAGAAAGUCUAAAAACUACCCAGCUACACGAAGAGAAGACACCCAUCUCUCAUUUAACCCCCUGGAGAAGAUAUUGCUCCUUCAUUCAUCCUGAUCACCACAGUGUGGUACUUUCAGAUGACCCCACCACCACCACCACACAACAUGUAUACUGGAAUGAGGUAGUAGAACGGACUGAACCACCUCAGACUGCAGAAGGGGGAUCCAGAAUGCUUUAAGAACUUUCUGCUGAAAAGCAGUAUAUAAACAACAGUGAUGGUAAUUCUGCUUUUAACCCACCCACCCCCAAUCCCUCUCUCUAAGCAGAAAACUAGAGCAGCAAGAAGAAGGUUGAGAUGAAACUUUUAUCCCUUAUACACUA